UCAAAACGAAACAAAAUGCAGACUCAAUGUUUGAAAAGUCAAGAAUACAUUAAAGCUUCUAUUAUCAGGGCCCGCGGGGCAUCAUUCGGCCUCACCGCAGGCUUAAUUGCGAGACCCCCUUGUAGUCGCUCCAAAUCAGUCAUUACAUGACGGACGAAGAUCAUCACUAUGGCAAAGAAGGUGGUUCGAGUCAUAUCCUCGCAUGCUUGGCAUUUCAUGGUGAUGUAACCAGCGAUGGCUAUGAUACUCUCUCUAAUCCUGCCCUUUUCUUGAAGUAAUCGCCCUAUCUGCUGGUUUCGGGCCUCCAACACUUGGGAGUCAUGAAAGUGCUGAUUUUGCCAAACAGUCCAACAGUCCAGUUAUUUACACAUGACUGUAUUGUUCAAAUAAACAGAAACUGUUAAAUAUCUAAAUUAAGUAAAACAGCAGGAAAUUCAAGAGAAUAACAAGUAAUAAAUCAUCAUUCAUCUUUAAAUUUGAUAAUACAUGUUGAUCUAAUCUUCAUACAUCACUUGGGCCAGAAAUGUACCUGGAAUUUGAAUGGAAAAUAGAAAAUGAGGGUCAGCUAGGCAGCAACAACACACAACAACUGUAAAACCAAUUUAAAGCCCAGGAAAUUAUAUCCAUAACCGCAUAAAUAAUUUCAUGCAGAUAAACACCAGUAAACAACCCAAAACCAGCUUGAAUGAACCAAAUGCAACUCAAAAAUAACCUCAGGAAUCUCUGAAAUCUCAACUACUAGGCUCACCAGUAGAAGUUAAGCCAUUUUCGACUCUAGAUAAACUGAAGAUUAAAGUGAGAACUUGGAACUUCAAAAUCACCCUAAAGGUUCAAUGGAAUAGUGAUUUUUGGAUUUUUGUUCACCUCAAGUUUUUUUUGGAACUUUUCGGUGUUUUUAUUGCUUUUUUAACCUCUAAAAUCUGACUAGCAAGACAAAUACCUGAUGCCUUAUAAGCAAUUAGGUAGGGCAAACUUUCAGAUCUUUUAUUGCACUUAGGUCCCUCCGUUUUUAACUUAUUAACCAAGUUAUAGCAUUGCAAUUUAUAGGGGAACCCUACUAAAAACUUCUAUUUUUUAUGCUAAGAUUCUCUAUGAUUUAAUUCCUCAUUUACCCUUUCAAUCGCUGGAUAUUUCAAUUUUGCCCUCUGUCCUAAUUUGAAAUUAUUUACAACCAUUUUUAAGACCUUUAGUUAAAUAUUACUGCAUUUCACUUUUGAACAUAAACUAAAUUUCAACCAUACUCAUAAAUUAUAGAUCAAAAUUAAGAUUAGCUAAUCUGUGAGCAAAC
rnacentral:lncRNA from 1 species